rnacentral:lncRNA from 9 species
GAAACAGCCCGGGAGGGCGGCUGGGGAGCAGACAGGAAGCCAGGGACCAGCAGGGAGAAGGAUGGCAACAUGAACACUUGAGUGAGGCCAGAGGUCUCUCCACUUGGCAGGCGUAUUGUGCCCUCCACAAUGUACCUGCUGAGAAGGAAACCCAAUCCUCAUCCUUUUAACCAACACAGAGGGACAGGAGACCAAGUAAAUGUGACUGUGAUGUGCAGUGGAGGGCCAGUGGCGGUGUGAGAAGAGCCAGCUCCUGACUGUCCUGGUGCAUGCUGGGAAGGCAGCCAUGAUGUGCGUGAUGAAGAGCUGCAGAUCUCCCCCUUCCGCCAGCACAUCGGCUGUGCUCGGAUGUGGCAUAUGGAGCUCUGCCGCACGGGUCCUCUUUCCCUGCCCCACUCCUGAGUCCCCACUUUACUCUGACCACCUGGUCGCCAGGGUCCUCCUGGGUGGGUGAUUACUCAAACGCCCCAAGUUUCAAGAUGCUAGUUCCUGCCCGGAGAAUAGAAUGUGUGAGCAUUCUUCUUGAAGCCACUGCCAAACAUGCCCAACAUGUUAGUAAUCAGAAUGGCUUUUAUUUUCCUUAUUUCUAAUUACAAUUAUAGUUAGUAAAUACCUGUUUAUCCCCCCAGGAAUUAGCAAAUGGGCCCUUGCCCAAGGGUGAUGGUGGAUGAGGGAUUAGGGAAUGAAAGGAUGUUAGUACAAAUUCUACAACCCCGAGUCAUGUGUAUUAACAUCGUUUAUUUCUAUGAAAUUAAACUGAAAGGGGCCUGGCGCUCCAUUCCACCAAGCUGCAGAAAACGGAGCGAUCUGAAAAAGCUCAGCUAUUCCAGGGUCUUGCUCCAGCUUCCCAUGCUUCUAAACUCUGGUGGGCUGACCAUUGUCCUGGGUGGGAGUGAGGUCUCUUGUAUGAGACUGGUUUCUGUCCUGCCCUGGUGGUUGGCCAAGGGGUGGGCUCUUUGGUCAUCAGCACCUGCCAUACUGCCUUAGCAUGGGAGACACCUGUAUCCUUUCUGCACCCAGCACACAGGGUACAUGCUGUCACCUAGCAGGCUUCCUUGCCUGGCUGUGGAACCUCUCCACGCCUUCCUGGCCACCUCUCAGCCACUCUGGGCUAAGCUGAGCUGUGAGCAUCUCUCUGAGAUCGUUCCCAUUUCAAGUCCCAAGACACGCUACCCCUCGGGCACUGUCUUGGCUUGGCCUAGACCUUCUCUGAAAGGCUUCUCUGCUCGGAGAUUGGCCCAAACUCAUCUGCUCUUUCCGCUGGCGUUCCUCAUGUCCUGGUCCCAGCGGCCAGCCAGCCUUAGCUGGGCAUGAGCUAGGGGCUUCCUGCUGACGAUGGACUCAUCAGCAUCUCAGCAUCUCGGCUUGAAUCUCCUCCCCUCCAAUUCUCUCCUCUGGCCAGCUGGCCUAACCUUGCUCUCCUCUGAGGCCGGAACCUGCUUUCUUUCUGGCUGUUAUUUGCAGCUCCAGUCUCUCUUCUGGGCCCUUAGCUUCUUAUUCGCUUGUCACUCAGAAACCUUUGCUUUCUCAAGAGCUCCAUGCUCGUCUUUGAAAGCCCUGUCUUUCACACUUUGGCUUCUGCCCCGAGUUUUCUUUGCUUUUCUUUUUUUAUCUUUUUAGGGCUGUGCCUGUGGCAUAUGGAAAUUCCCAGACGGGGGGGGGGGGGUUGAAAAGGAGCUGCAGUUUCCGGCCUACACCACAGCCGCAGCAGCACCGGAUCCAAGCGGUAUCUGCAACCUACACCACAGCUCACGGCAAUGCUGGAUCCUUUAACCCACUGAGCGAGGCCAGAGAUCAAACCCGAGUCCUCAUGGAUACUAGUCAGGUUUGUUACCACUGAGCCACAAUGGGAAAUCCUGCUCUGAGUUUUCUAAAAGAAUCUGUACUGAGACUCGAAUGGCAUCUUUGUUUUCAUCUGUAUGGUCCCCUACCACCCCACCCAUGAAUGCCACUUACAUGCAUCACAGGCUUGCAGAGGCAAGAAGACAAAGGUAGGAAUGAAAAUUCUGUUAUUAUUUCAAGAUAUUAUACCAUCACAGUGGGGUUCUUUUCUAAUUAUCAACCAGUGACCGAAUCUCAAAAGAAAGUAGCUCAUGGGUGCUGUUUUUAGGUGGUCUCUGUUAAUGGUACCCCCUUCUCUGUAGACAUCAUCAGGAAGAAUCUGCUAGAAGACUCCAGUGCUUCACGGCCUUUCCUGUUUCUAAUGUGUGCAUCAUUCAUGGCUGUUAGCACAAACUAGAGCAAGCUCUGGUGCCACACUGGAUUAGCUCUGUAACACAGGCUGCAUUCUUAUUCCUACUUCUUCUGUGACACUUGAGUUCAAAACAUUUAGGGUGAGGGUAAGAUUUUGGUUAAUUGGAAUUUAUUUUUAUUUUAUUUUAUUAAAAAUUUUCUUUUAUUAAAGUAUAGUUGAUGUACAAUGUUCUGUCAAUUUCUGCUGUACAGCAAAGUGACCCAGUCAUAUAUGUAUGUAUAUAUAUAUAUAUAUACACACACAUAUGCACACACACACAUAUAUAUACAUUCUGAAUUUUGUUUUAAUGAGGUCCUGCCUCUGCACCCCCCCAACUGCCAUAAAGGUAGUAGAUUGCAAAAAUGGAGUUCCCUGGUGGCUCAGCAGGUUAAGGAUCCAGUGUUGUCACUGCUAUGGCAAUUCCUGGACCGUGAACUUCCACAUGCCGAGAGCACUGCCAAAUGAGCAAACAAAAAUGGCCACAAAUUCUUCCCCUCCCAUCAAGAGCUAGUAGAGACACGUUCUCCACCUCCUGACUCUGACUUUGGCCGUGUGAUUUGCUUUAGCCAAUGAGAUUGACCCAGUCAAGGCUUCCAAAGUGCUUCUGCCCUGGGGCUCGCAUUCUCAAGCUCUUGCAGGCCCUGCCGCUACCACCAUGUGAAUAAGCCUUGGGUUAGCCUGCUGGAUGUGGCCUUGUCACCCCUGGAAGGUCAGCUGACCUGGUAGCUGACCUCAGAUGGGUGAGGAAGCCUGUCCGAGACCAGCAGAAUUGCUGAGUCAAGCCCAGCCCAAAUUGUUAGUCCACCGAUUCUUGUGCUUCAUACACGGUUAUUGCUUUAAGCUACUGAAUUAUGGGGCAGCUUGUUAUGCAGAAAAAGCUAACUGCUGCAGGAUGCUAAACACAAUGGAAUGUCUGGUGAAUUGGUGUUUUGUGAUUCUUGGUGUUGUAGAUUGAACAUCAAUUCUUUCCAUCUAGAACUAUAUAGAUUUAAAAGACAGAGGCUGAAUUUAUACCUAGUCUAGGAUAUGCUUUCUUUUUUUUUUUUUAAUAAAAGCUAAUCUACAUAGUAUUAUAUUUAAAAUGCAAAUGCUAGACUAGUAUGCUAAGGAUGAUUCCAUUAGAUUAACUAAAUUUAUGUUGUGUCUAUGUACAUGGAAAAUUCUAAAAGAAUACUGAAGAAACUGUUAAUCAAAGACAUUUCUAGGCCUGGGAUGGGGGUGGGAAGAACUUAUAUUUGUUGUUUAUAUUUUGAGCUUUUUACCAUGAUCACCUGCUCAUUUGAUAAUUAAAAAUAUACUAAAAUUUAAAAAGUAAAGUC